UCUGAUCUGUUAGUGCUGUGAUACAGACCUGUGUGUGCAGAGAAGCACCAGAGCAGAGAGCGACACCCCAGGCUGGAAAGAGGAACUGCACAGGAUUUGAAAGUUGCAGGGUGCUAUAAAGAAAACUAGGAAGUCCAGGAACAGAGCAUUUUGUCCCUCCUUGAAUGGAUCAUGUUGAAAGGAAUGCAGAAUCAAAGUCUAACUGGUAUAACAAUAAAUCAUGAAGUGUAGCAAUGGCAAUGACUAACCUCAAGGUGCUGUACCUUGCAACAGGUAUAUGUGCAUAAGCUUUACAGCCGAAGACACGGAGAUGAUUGACAGCUGGCUUUUUCUUGGACCACGCCUCCAGUGGCAUUUUACCUUUUACAGCUACUGUGAGCGCACGGUUAUUAAGAUAAACUGCAGUAGACACUGCUUCCACCCAAAAGCUUUUCUCCAGGCCUGCGUCACUCAACAUAGUCCAUGCUCUCUCAACAAUUGUACGAUUUGCACGCUCACUCACACCGUUUUGUUCUGGCACGUAAGCAAUUGUUAGAUGAUGCUCUAUGCCAGAUUUUUUCAGGAACUGUGCUAAAACUCUGUUGUCAUACUCUCCGCCAUUGUCGGAUCUCAAGACUUUUAAUUUCAGACCCGCCUGAGUCUCCACCAGGUUCUUGUAUUCCACAAUUUUAUUGACAACUUCCCUUUUAGCUUUUAUGAAAUACACGUGUCAUACUUGUGGCAUCAUCAAUAAAUGUUAUAAAAUACCUGUAGCCACUCAUUGAUUCCAUCUCCAUCGGACCACAUACGUCAGUAUGCCUAGGGCUAGUGGUAUUUCCGCUCUACUAGUAGACUUAGGAAAUGGGGUGUGAGUCUGCUUUCCUUUUAUACAACUCUCGCACACAGGCCUCUCAGUAUUACAAUGAGUCCAGUUGCCAUUCCAUCGAGUAGUUUCUGGACAUUGUCAUGCCCCAGAUGACCUAGGCACCUGUGCCACAGCUCCAUCAACUGGUUUGAAUCAGAGGCUGCCAUUGCAGAACACUGCUCGGUGUCCAGGACAUACAGUUGGUUGCACCGGGUUGCUGAAGCAAUUACAGUCCCUUUCUCAUUUUGCACCAUACAUUUGCCCUUUGCAAACUGGACUCUGUAACCCUUUUUUCUCCAGGACGCUUAUAGCAAUGAGAUUGCUUCCCAAAUCUGGCACGAACAAGAUGUCUUGGAUGUCCGUAAUAACUGUUUUACCUUUAAUUCUUAGACGCACUGUGAUUGUACCAAAUUUUGAAGCAGUAAGGACUUUUUCUCCAAUUUUACUGUAAUGGGUUCACAUGCUGUUAGUGAAUUGAACCAUCCCUGAUUACAACUGAAAUGUUAGUGGUCCCCGAGUCCAUGUACCAGAAAUCCUUCUUGUGACUUUCUGCUACAUUCAAUGCUGACUCAUUUGGUUUGUCACGCUUCUUCUGCGUACCACUGCAAUUUCUCAGUCUGCAAUCUGACGCCUUGUGCCCCACCUUGUGACAUAUAAAGCACUUGAACUUGAGCUUUCUGGACUUAGUACCUUUUGUGAAUAAGGCAGAACCCUCAGCAUGUGUUUCGACAGGAAUAAGUUUUUGGAACUCCAGCAGCUUGACUCUUACAAUUUCUGUUGUCAGCUUGGAAUCGUUAGACUCAAAAGCUAUUACCAGGAAAUCAAAUUCCGGCAUCAGAUUUUGAAACAUCACCACCGCCCCUUCCUCGUCAUCCACCUGUGCUCCCACAGAUGUCAACUGCUGAGCUAUUGACAGUAUUUUAUCAAUAUAAUCAUUCAUGUAAUUACAGACACUUAACUUUGUCCCGUACAGCAUGCACCUUAAGUUUAUUCUUCUCAUCAGACCUUUGUCCUCAUAUGCCAUUUGCAGAGCAGCCCACAUGUCUUUGGCUAACACUUUCCCACUGAGAAUGGAGUAGACGUGUUGGUCCACGGCCAAGCCUAUCGCCCCGAUGGCUCUAUCCACUUCAACUGGGUUUGCUCCUGGCUCAAUUGUAACUUUCCAUAACUUUUCCGCUUAAGCUGCAUCUCCAUGGCGAAUUUCCACGUUGUGUAAUUCUCUGAGCCUUUUAGCUUUGUAAAGUUCACACUGUUCCCUGUA